ensembl:lncRNA
CUCCCAGAGCGCCCCCUAAAGGACACCACGAGGGACACGGUCAAAUGUCCUCUCCAGAUCCACAAAACACAUGUGGACUGUGUCAAACUCCCAUGAGCCUCGAGGCCUGAUGGAGAGUAUAGAGCUGGUCCAGUGUUAAACGACCGGGACAAAAACCACACUGCUCCUCCUGAAUCGGAGGUUUGACUAUCGGUCAGAUUCUCCUCUCCAGUCCCUGGAAUAGACUUUACCGGGAAGGAUGAGGAGUGCGACUCCCCUGUAGUUAGAACACACCCUCUGGUCCUUCUUCUUAAACAGAGGGACCCACCAGCCUUGUGCCUCUGUGAUACGCGCCAGCAGCCUCAGUUUUUGUGAGUUUUAAUCCUACAGUACUUAGAUUACUGUGUUAAUGUGGGCAGAAUGUGAGGGGCUCAUUGUUGGGCGACUGACCUCAGGCUUUUGAAUCUGGGGCUUUUUGGACCUGUCCAGACUCUGUCCUCACAUGAUCAUAAAUACUAAAAUGAUUUGUUUCACUAAUUAAUACAUUUCUGUCUUUCAGGUGAGAAGCCUGUUAUCAAUCCUGAUGAAGCUGAUCAAAUGGUUUAGACACGACCCUGGAAUGAGGCUUUACUGUAAUUUAGAACCAAAAAGAUGAAGCUGUGGUGUUUGAAUCUUUGUGAAGCGACACACAAACCUUGCACUUUUCUUCUCCUCUUUGCUCUGGAGCGACACAAAUAAACACUUCCUUAUUUGACAUGUUUCAUAAUCUGUCUGAAGGGGUCAAAGUUUGCUAUGUGGAGUCUAGAGAAAAUGAUAAACGAUCUUUAUCACUCAUUACCAGUCGUGGAAUAUAAGGAAGUACAAUCAAGUGUGUACUUUUUACUUUUGACUUCAUACAUCUGAGGGCAGUAUCUGUACUUUCUACUCCACUACAGUUUUGAACAGGACUGAAAAGUAAAAGUAUUUUUUAUUACGGUGUAAGACCUGUGGAAAAGGCUGAGGGUUCACAAUUUGAACAAAACAAAAAUUAAAAAAUUAAAUAAAAAUAUACAGACAGAAAAAAAUGAUGGAUUCAGUUGUUUCUGUUGAACAAAAUUAAACACAAAUCAGAAUCAAUGAAUUUGAAGCUCAUGAAUUAGACUCAAAAUCUGCACAGAAUACUUUUACUUUUUACUCUUUAAUUCUAUUUUAAUACUUUUAUCGCUAAUGACGCGGCUUAAAUAAUCAUACGGGGGAAAUACGUCGUGUUUGUCUGCGUUCGUGUAAAUAUGUGCUCGUGUUUCAUCCAGGGAUCUGAUGCACUAAAUGAACCUUUACCUGUACCUGCUGCUUUUGACUGAAAUCAUAUGUAAUUGUACUUUAUACUUUUUAAACUUUACUGUUUGACUGUGAACUAUAGCGUGUCGUCCCGUGUCGUAAAAGUGAGAGGAUUUCUGUUUUUUUAUCGGACACUGUGUAAAUUACAAUACUGUUUUGUAUUUGAACAUGUUUUCGUUUUUUGCUAAAGGUAAAUGUUAAUUUUUGUAGCUUGUGACUUAAGAUCAUUGCUAAACGGAUCCUGUACUAGUUUAAAUAUAUUCACUCUCUCUCUCUUCUGAAAGUGAUUUAUCUGAGCCAACUACAACUAAAACUGAGCUGUGUAUUUAAUAGAAACUUGUGAUAUUUAAGUCAGGGGUGUCCAAACUUUAUAAAAACACAGACAAAUCUACGUGUUUUUUAAAGUUAGACUGAACCUUUAGACCUUUAUUCACGCUCACAUCCUCAGAGGGACACAUUAAAUAUUUGAUCUGGGCUUGUUAAAGUAGAUUUUCAGAAAUAUACAGUCAAAAGUACUGUUUACGGUAAUAUGAGACAGUUCACCGGAAGCUCGAGGGCCAAGAAAAGUUGGCCCGAGUGCCGCAUUUAGCCCGUGGGCCGUAGUUUGGGCAUGUCUGAUUUAAGCUGAAUUUCUUCCAGUGCCAAAAGAAGCUGCGUUUCAUUGUAAAACUCCUCUCAGGUUUCUGUUCCUUGUUUUUAUUUUUUAUGCUGCUACCAGUUUAUGUAAUAGUUGCUUAUAUUUGUGAAAUCAACAAUUAUAUGGAAGGAACCUGGGCGGUACUGAGUUUUAAUUUACUUUUUCACAGUUUUUUUUCAAAAUCAGGCACUUGUUUUUGCGU